CAUUAAAGAGUUCUAUAACUCCCAAACCCAUGUGAACAUACCUAACGUUGCCUCGGCAGGUCGCACCUACCUUGUAGCACCCUACCCUGUAGGGCCUACCCGGGAGGUGCGGGUAAGCCUGCCGGCGGCCCACCAAACUCUGUUUGAUAUUGAAUUCUGAACCUAUAACUAAAUAAGUUAAAACUUUCAACAACGGAUCUCUUGGUUCUGGCAUCGAUGAAGAACGCAGCGAAAUGCGAUAAGUAAUGUGAAUUGCAGAAUUCAGUGAAUCAUCGAAUCUUUGAACGCAUAUUGCGCCCAUUAGUAUUCUAGUGGGCAGGACCGUUCGAGCGUCAUUUCAACCCUUAAGCCUUCGUUGCUUAGUGUUGGGAGCCUACGGCAACGUAGCUCCUCAAAGUUAGUGGCGGAGUUGGUUCACACUCUAGACGUAGUAAAUUUUUAUCUCGCCUAUUAGUUGGACUAAUCCCCUGCCGUAAAACCCCCAAUCUAUAUCAGGGUUGACCUCAAAUCGGUUCAGACAAACUCGCUAAAUUGAA
rnacentral:rRNA from 1 species